rnacentral:tRNA from 1 species
AUCUUUCUAGUAUAGGUAAUAUAAGUGACUUCCAAUCACCCGAUCUUGGUUAAAAUCCAAGGAAAGAUA